rnacentral:lncRNA from 1 species
CCAAGCAUAUGAUUCCAAAGCAUCUUGUAAUCAGCGACCUACUUCCACUGGGACCUGACUGCCAUCCGACAACACGUGAGCCAUACCGGACAUCGUUGGGACCUCCAUGUCCGGCUACAUGGGUUGCGGUGAGCCCCUGCUCUCUCUCUCUCUCUCUCUCUCUGCCCUUGGACGGUCCGGCCAUCGAGCUAGUGUGCGACUGUUGUCGUCAUGCUGUGUGUAGUGGUGGUGGUCUUCCGGCAACUAACAUGAUCUUGGGAUUGUGGUCAUAUUUCUUGUCGAUUAAACAUGUCAUGAUACUUGUGCUUUGCGAGGCCAUGUGUGUAUGUGGCUGCUACCAUGCUUUCCUACCUAUGCAAGAUUCUGUUGUGCCUCCACAAAUAGUCUCUGGUUUAUCCAUUUAUGUACCUUUUUUGCACCGCAUGUUACAGGAUUUGGUAGUGGUCCAUGUUCUAGCUUUGGUAGGAUCCUUGCUUAUAUGUUGUGGGAGGUUUAUUUAUUAACAAUGGCUACCAUUAAAUAUAGAAAGAAAACGAUUACCUAUUAACUGGUGUAGUGUUGCAGUGCACAUAUAGAUAGAACAAGUGUUAUCCUUGUGUGCUUUGGAGGGAGCCAUCAUGCAUGUGCUAGCAAUAUUCAUGACUAGUCUUGGAUGGAUAUUUUAUCUAGUUGUAUGUUCGAUUGUCAAUUGUUUGCUAUGCUAGCUGAACAAAUGGGUGCUUCUUUUAAUUUGUUAUGCUACCUGGUCAGUUUCUGGAGCUCAACAAUAUCUGUUGUUUCUUGGAGCUAGGGCCCGGCGCAAAUGACACUUGCUCUCCCCAGAGCUCUCUCCCUCCUCUGACACGUAUGAUGAACACUUUUUCUCUGACCACGGCUGAGGUGAGCCGGUUGCUUCGUUUCUUUUGCAUACUUACUCUCAUUCCCUGUGUGUCCACAACCAUCGAGCCGUGGUAGUUGUAUACUGGCCAUUGCACCAUGGAGAUUUCUUGGGCUGGGUUGGGGGCUAUGGUCAUGGUGUCUGUUGUAAUCUACAUUUCUGUUUCUGUGAAUGAACGAUGACGACAAUAUUAUUUUCCUACCUAUGGCUGCGGCUGCGUUGAGCCGUCUCAAUUGGUACUUUUGAUUGUUACACAUGUUCUGAAUCCAUGAUGCUCAGGGUCCCUGAUAACCCACAAGUAUAGGGGAUCGCAACAGUUUUCGAGGGCAGAGUAUUCAACCCAAAUUUAUUGAUUCGACGCAGGGGGAGCCAAAUAAUAUUCUCAAGUAUUAGCAGUUAAGUUGUCAAUUCAACCACAGAACAAUAUAUGAAAAGCUCGUAGGCAUUGGAUCGGUGAUGGAGAAUUAUGCCGAAUGCGGUUCAUCAUGUAACAAUCAUAACAUAGGGUGACACAGAACUAGCUCCAAUUCAUCAAUGUAAUGUAGGCAUGUAUUCCGAAUAUAGUCAUACGUGUUUAUGGAAAAGAACUUGCAUGACAUAUUUUGUCCUACACUCCCGUGGCAUCGGGGUCCUAACGGAAACUAUGGGAUAUUGAGGCCUCCUUUUAAUAGAGUACCGGAACAAAGCAUUAGCACAUAGUGAAUACAUGAACUCCUCAAACUAUGGUCAUCACCGGGAGUGGUCCCGAUUAUUGUCACUUCAGGGUUGCCAGAUCAUAACACAUAGUAGGUGACUAUAGACUUGCAAUAUAGGAUCAAAAACUCACAUAUAUUCAUGAAAACAUAAUAGGUUCAGAUCUGAAAUCAUGGCACUCGGGCCCUAGUGACAAGCAUCAAUCCAUGGCUUGCUCGAAACAACGAGUGCCUCCAACUAGCAACAGUCCCAGAGGGAGUUUUGUUUGCAAUUAUUUUGAUUUGAUUUUGUAUAAAGCAUGGGAAUGGGCAUUCCGGUGACCAGCCAUUUUCUCGUGAGUGAGGAGCGGAGUCCACUCCUCUUAAGAAUAACCCGCCUAGCAUGGAAGAUACAGACAGCCCUAGUUGAUACAUGAGCUAUUCGAGCAUACAAAACAAAAUUUCAUUUGAAGGUUUAGAGUUUGGCACAUACAAAUUUACUUGGAACGGCAGGUAGAUACCGCAUAUAGGAAGGUAUAGUGGACUCAUAUGGAAUAACUUUGGGGUUUAAGGGAUUGGAUGCACAAGCAGUAUUCCCGCUUAGUACAAGUGAAGGCUAGCAAAAGACUGGGAAGCGACCAACUAGAGAGCGACAACAGUCAUGAACAUGCACUAAAAUUAAUAGACAUUGAGUACAAGCAUGAGUAGGAUAUAAUCUAUCAUGAACAUAAAUAUCGUGAAGGCUAUGUUGAUUUGUUUCAACUACAUGUGUGAACAUGUGCCAAGUCGAGUCACUUAAAUCAUUCAAAGGAGGAUACCACCCCACUAUACCACAUCACAACUAUUUUAAUAGCAUGUUGGCACGCAAGGUAAAGCAUUAUAACUCAUAGCUAAUGAAGCAUGGCAUAAACAACUAUGAUAUCUAAUUGUCAUUGCAAACAUGUUUAUUCAUAAUAAACUGAAUCAGGAACGAUGAACUCAUCAUAUUUACAAAAACAAGAGAGGUCGAGUUCAUACCAGCUUCUUCCAUCUCAGUCAGUCCAUCAUAUAUCAUCAUAAUUGCCUUUCACUUGCACGACCGAACGAUGUGAAAAUAAUAAGAGUGCACAUGCAUUGGACUAAGCUGGAAUCUGCGAGCAUUCAAUAAACAGGAGAAGACAAGGCAAUAUGGGCUCUUGGUUAAAUCAACAAUAAUGCAUAAGAGCUACUUCAACAAUUUAAUCAUGGUCUUCUCCUAUCGACCCCCAAAGAAAAGAAAAGAAAUAAAACUAUUUACACGGGAAAGCUCCCAACAAGCAAAAAAAGAACAGGAAAUCUUUUUGGGUUUCCUUUUUAAUUAUUACUACUACAGCAAGAAUAGUAAACUAACUAAAAGCUACAGCUAAUUUUUUUGGUUUUUUUAAGGUUUAUCAAACACACAAGAAAGCAAGAAAAAGAAAAUAAACUAGCAUGGAUAUUACAAUGAAAGAGUAAGAGCACCGACAUUUAGCAAUGAGUGUGUGAACAUAAAUGUAAUGUCGGUGAGAGAUACGUACUCCCCCAAGCUUAGGCUUUUGGCCUAAGUUGGUUUAUUGCCACGGAUGGCCUGGCGGAUAUCCAUAGUUGUAGCUGGGGUCGUACUGAGAUGAAGAAGACUCUGACUGCCACUGGUUCGCAAUCAUAUCCGGAUCCCACUGGUAGUUAGACUGUCGUGGAGGUUCAAAAUGUGGUUCCGGCUCCGUGGCUGGUGUAGGGUUCCGGUAGGCGUGAAUGGCCGCCAACGGAACGAGAUACGGACCUUCAGAUAAAUUAAACAAGGAGGGAGCAGGCAAGGUAAUAGUCUCAGGGUGAUGUUUAUCAAAGAACAAUUUGUAUUUAAGCGCUCCUUCCCUAUUCUUAACAAUAAAGUCAUGCGCUACCAUACUCUUAUAAUCUAAAUAAGCAUUGGGCAGCAAUUUUUCUUCUUUUUCAUAGUGCCUCAUAGGUAUGUUAUAAUGUGCAGCAAGGCGUGAAGCAUAAAUACCUCCAAAGAUGGGGCCCUUUGUACGGUUCAAACUUAACCGUUUAGCAAUAAUACCGCCCAUACUAACAGUGUUAUCGCAGAAUAAACCAUGGAACAAAAUGAUAAUAUCAGGAACACUAAGGUUUCCACAGUUUCCGCGACCAAUUAAGCAACGACUAGCAAAUAUGGCAAAGUAGCGUAAAACAGGAAAAUGUAUGCUAGUGAUUCUUGCAUCGGAAACCUUCCUAGUUUCCCCCACAGUAAUGGUAUCCGUAAACCCGUCCACAUCUUUACGAUGUGGUUCCUCUAAACUACCCUCAAAAGGUAUUUUGCAAACCUUGCAAAAUUCAUCUAGUGGCAUUUUCUUAACAACAUCAUAUAAAUGAAACUCUACUGAAGGAGGUGAUUCCUUAGGAUAAUGGUAGAAGUUUUGCACAAAAGUAUUGGUGAGUAAGAGAUACUGAUUGCGUUGGUCGCGGAGGAAGUCGGUGAGGCCUGCAUUCUCAACCAAUUCAUAAAAAUCAUCAUAAAUCCCGGCUUCUCUCAAGAAAUCAUUGGAAGGCCGUUCACAUGGCCGGACAUCCGCGGUGCGAGGCAAAUUAUAUUUGGGCCUCUGUGCUUCUUCACUUUGCUUUUCCUUCGAGCUUUGGAUCGAUGAGCCCCUCAAGAAUCUCUUCAUUAUUUUCUGAAAACUUCUGAAAUUUUUAGUAACUUCAAAUAAAAAUGAACCAAACUCAAUAGAAUUGAUAGCAACUACUCCUGCAAGUGCCUAGAGCCUAUAUCAUGCAUUAGCACUACUUGGAACCAUAUAAAUUUGACAUGCAAGCUCAAGAACAUGGUCACCUAGGCAGCACAAAUUUGCAAUGAAUAAAGCACUAGAACAAAAACUAAUUGGACCAAUGGAGGAGUCACAUACCAAAGAACAAUCCCCCCAAGCAGUUUUGUGAGAGGUGCUUUGAGCAAGGAGAUCGAAAAUCGCAGCAAAAUGAGCUACAACUCGUGCUUGAGCUGAAUGGUGAUUUUUUUGGGAGGAAGAAGAAGUGUGUGGGUGCAGGAAUAAGUGGAGGGGAGCCACCGUGGGCCCACGAGGCAGGGGGCGCGCCCUCCACCCUCGUGGCCAGGUGCUUGCCCCUUCUGUUGUGUUCUCAGUGCCAGAUAUUCUCCAAUAUUCCAAAAAAAAUCAUAUUCCAUUUUCAGGGCAUUUGGAGAACUUCUAUUUUUGGUGUAUUUUUAUAUUGCACGGAUAAAUCAGGAAAUAGACAAAAAAAUACUAUUUUACUUUAAUUCAACUAAAUAACAGAAAGUAAAAGGAGGGUACAGUAGGUUGUGCCUUCUAGUUUCAUCCAUCUCAUGCUCAUCAAAAAGAAUCCACUAACAAUGUUGAUCAAGUCUUGUUAACAAACUCAUUCCGAAUAACAUGGAAUCGGAGAAAUUUCGAAUGACACUAUGUUACCUCAAUGGGGAUAUGCACAUACCCAAUAAUAAGAAUAUCAUAUUUCUUCUUGACAGUAGGAAGAGGAAAUUCAAAACCUCCAAAUAUAAUUGAUGGAAUUUUUCGAAUAGAAUUUAUACUAUGAACUUGAGGUUGCUUCCUCGGAAAGUGUACCGUAUGCUCAUUACCAUUAACAUGAAAAGUGACAUUGCCUUUGUUGCAAUCAAUAACAGCCCCUGCGGUAUUCAAAAAAGGUCUUCCAAGAAUAAUAGACAUACUAUCGUCCUCGGGAUUAUCAAGAAUAACAAAGUCCGUUAAAAUAGUAACAUUUGCAACCACAACAGGCACAUCCUCACAAAUACCGACAGGUAUAGCAGUUGAUUUAUCAGCCAUUUGCAAAGAUAUUUCAGUAGGUGUCAACUUAUUCAAAUCAAGUCUACGGUAUAAAGAGAGAGGCAUAACACUAACACCGGCUCCAAGAUCACAUAAAGCAGUUUUAACAUAGUUUCUUUUAAUGGAGGUACUCCUGGAUCUCCAAGUUUCUUAAAAGUAUAAUUAGCAAGCAUGGUGGAAAUUUCAAGUUCUGGUAUCUUUCUUUUAUUAGUAACAAUAUCUUUCAUAUACUUAGUAUAAGGAUUCAUUUUGAGCAUAUCAGUCAAACGCAUACGCAAGAAGAUAGGUCUAAUCAUUUCAGCAAAGCGCUCAAAAUCCUCAUCAUCCUUUUUCUUGGAUGGUUUGGGAGGAAAAGGCAUGGGUUUGUGAACCCAUGGUUCUCUUUCUUUACCAUGUUUCCUAGCAACAAAGUCUCUCUUAUCAUAACGUUGAUUCUUUGAUUGUGGGUUAUCAAGAUCAACAGCAGGUUCAGUUUCUACAUCAUUAUGAUUGCUAGGUUGAGCAUCAUCAUAGACAUUAUCAUUAACAUUUUCAUUAGGUUCAUGUUCAUUACCAGCUUGUGUUUCAGCAUCAGAGAUAGAAAUAUCAUUUGGAUUCUCAGGUGGUUCAGCAAUAGGUUCACUAGAAGCAUGCAAAGUCCUACCAUUUUUCUUUUUCUUCUUUUUAGAAGAGCUAGGUGCAUCAAUAUUAUUUCUCUGAGAAUCCUGCUCUAUUCUCUUAGGGUGGCCUUCAGGAUACAAAGGUUCCUGAGUCAUUUUACCAGUUCUAGUAGCCAACCUAACAACAUAAUCAUUAUUCUUACUAUUCAAUUCACUGAGCAAAUCAUUUUGAGCUUUAAGUACUUGUUCUACUUGAUGGUGACCAUUGAACCAUGUUUAGUAAUGAGUUUAAGUUCACCUUUAACUCUAGACAUAUAAUCACCCCAAGUGUUCAAUCAUAUAAGCAUUUUAUUUUAAUUGUCUACCAAAAUAAGCACUAAAAUCUUCUUGCCUAACCAUGAAGUUAUCAAACUCAUCCAAGCAUUGGCUAGCAAUUUUAGUAGGAGGGAUUUCAGCUUUAUCAUAUCUAUAGAGAGAAUUUACCUUUACUACCUGUGUCAGGUUAUCAAGACCAUGAGUUUCUUCAAUAGGUGAUGGAUUGAGAUCAUAUGUUUCUUCAACAGGCGGUAAAUUAAGACCAUGUAUUUCUUCAAUAGGAG